rnacentral:rRNA from 1 species
AUCAACGCUGGCGGCGUGCCUAACACAUGCAAGUCGAACGAGAAAGUGGAGCAAUCCAUGAGUAAAGUGGCGUACGGGUGAGUAACACGUGACUAACCUACCCUUGAGUGGGGAAUAACCUCGGGAAACCGGGGCUAAUACCGCAUAACACCUUCGGGUCAAAGGAGCAAUUCGCUUAAGGAGGGGGUCGCGGCUGAUUAGCUAGUUGGUGGGGUAAUGGCCUACCAAGGCAGUGAUCAGUAUCCGGCCUGAGAGGGCGCACGGACACACUGGAACUGAAACACGGUCCAGACUCCUACGGGAGGCAGCAGUGGGGAAUUUUGCACAAUGGGGGAAACCCUGAUGCAGCAACGCCGCGUGGAGGAUGAAGUCCCUUGGGAUGUAAACUCCUUUCGACCGGGACGAUAAUGACGGUACCGGUGGAAGAAGCCCCGGCUAACUCUGUGCCAGCAGCCGCGGUAAUACAGAGGGGGCAAGCGUUGUUCGGAAUUAUUGGGCGUAAAGGGUGCGUAGGCGGUGCGGUAAGUCUUCUGUGAAAUCUACGGGCUUAACUCGUAGUCUGCAGGAGAAACUGCCGUGCUUGAGUAUGGGAGAGGUGAGUGGAAUUCCUGGUGUAGCGGUGAAAUGCGUAGAUAUCAGGAGGAACACCAGUGGCGAAGGCGGCGAUCUGGGACCAUAACUGACGCUGAUGUGCACGGAAAGCUAGGGGAGCAAACAGGAUUAGAUACCCUGGUAGUCCUAGCCCGUAAACGAUGAUCGCUAGGUCGUCGCAGGGUUGACCCAAUCUGCUGUGCACGAAGUUAACGCAGUUAAGCCAUCCGCCUGGGGAGUACGGUCCGCAAGGCUGAAACUCAAAGGAAUUGACGGGGGCCCGCACAAGCGGUGGAGCAUGUGGUUCAAUUCGACGCAACGCGCAGAACCUUACCUGGGUCGAAAUGCCAGCUGGAAACCGGCUAGAAUAUGUGGUGUGCCCGCAAGGGAGCCUGUGAUAGGUGCUGCAUGGCUGUCGUCAGCUUGUGUCGUGAGAUGUUGGGUUAAGUCCCGCAACGAGCGCAACCCUUCUUGCAGUUGCCAUCGGAUAGCCUGGGCACUCUGGAGAAACUGCCGACGUUAAGUCGGGAGGAAGGUGGGGAUGACGUCAAGUUCCUCAUGGCCCUUAUGUCCAGGGCUACACACGUGCUACAAUGGCAUGAUACAAACGGUUGCAAGACUCGCGAGAGGGAGCUAAUCGGCAAAAAGUCCUGCCUCAGUUCGGAUAGUAGUCUGCAACUCGACUUACAUUGAAGUCGGAAUCGCUAGUAAUCGCCGGAUCAGCAUGCUGCGGGUGAAUACGUUCCCGGGCCUUGUACACACCGCCCGUCACAUCAUGGAAGUCAGGUUGCUCCUAGAAGUGGCUUACCUAACCGUAAGGAGGGCGAGGCGCCUAAGGAGUGGCUGGUACUGGGGUG